GACGAACGCUGGCGGCGUGCUUAACACAUGCAAGUCGAACGGAAAGGCCCUGCUUUUGUGGGGUGCUCGAGUGGCGAACGGGUGAGUAACACGUGAGUAACCUGCCCUUGACUUUGGGAUAACUUCAGGAAACUGGGGCUAAUACCGGAUAGGAGCUCCUGCUGCAUGGUGGGGGUUGGAAAGUUUCGGUGGUUGGGGAUGGACUCGCGGCUUAUCAGCUUGUUGGUGGGGUAGUGGCUUACCAAGGCUUUGACGGGUAGCCGGCCUGGGAGGGUGACCGGCCACAUUGGGACUGAGAUACGGCCCAGACUCCUACCGGAGGCAGCAGUGGGGAAUAUUGCACAAUGGGCGGAAGCCUGAUGCAGCAACGCCGCGUGCGGGAUGACGGCCUUCGGGUUGUAAACCGCUUUCGCCUGUGACGAAGCGUGAGUGACGGUAAUGGGUAAAGAAGCACCGGCUAACUACGUG
rnacentral:rRNA from 1 species